rnacentral:lncRNA from 1 species
CUGAAAGUGAAAAGACUUUGUAAGUAAAAAAUAAAGCCAGGACAAAUUUAUAAGAUUAGAAAAUAAUCUAAGUUUUAUUUUAAUAAUAUCUCUUAUUUACCAUUCAUUUUAAAAUUUGAUGAGACGAUAUUUAUCCAGUGCAAUAUUUGAAGAAACUUGAUAACAAAGUAAAUAUUAACAAAAUGUUUACUGAAUGUUUGUUGACACAUAAUUUUCACAGUGCGUAUACUAGUUAACAAAACUUUUUCCCUUUUUCUAUUUUUCAAAUUCAGAAAGACUAGUUUUACUUUGCUGUACAGCUAAGUGACUCUCAGGAAUUCUCAACUCUAAUAAUUAAUGAAAUGCAAUUGGAGAAUGAGCAGUUAUAUAUUCUUGGUCGAUUUUGCAAAUGUUGUCCUACUCUUUUAAAACAUUAUUUGAAAAUUCUCUUUGAUAAAAGAUGGAGAGCACUAUAAAUAAUCUAACUGACUUAACGGAUAAGGAAAAAAGAAAAAAAAACUCGAUAGUUUCUUGCAAUAUCAUAAUUUAUGUGAAGCAUGUAAAAAAAAGCUAUGCAUACAUAACACCUUUCCUGUCUGGCUUCAUCUGUAUUCAUUUGUUGUCAAAACAGGUUUCCAUAUUUAACUUCUUUUUUUGAUUAUGCCUUUUCCUUUAUUUCAUGGAAUGAUAUGUUAUUAUCUCUGAAGUGUAGAUUUCUGCCAAGUUCUAUGCACUUCAGUGUUAAGAGUAUGGCCCACAACUCUGGGAAUCUUUGUUGAAGCUGUAGAAAUAAAAUGAAUAGUAUAAAAGCUUGAUGGCAUCUGUGGAUAGGAAACUCAUUAAAGGCCCCAGCCCUCUGUUUUAUUUCUAACCACAUUUUCCCUGUGGGAUUUCAAUGUCUUGCAGGAUGAAACCAGCAGGACUCAUUACUUACAAAACAAUGUUUAGAGUCCUUUCGUGGUGCUGGAAUGCUUCUGCCAGUCAGAGGCCUGUUACUGCUACUCAGAGUGGCCCCAGGACUGUUGACAUCAGAACCAUGGAGGGAUGCAUCUGUUCCAGCCCUCCCGAACCAGAACCUAACUUCCAGGUAUUUGGUGGGCAUAUCAGACUUUUGGAGAAGUGAUGGUUUGUGCAAUUUUUUCUCCCAAAAGGUACCUGUUACUCAAAUGUUUUUGAGCACUGGAGUGGAGAGAUAAUGGAGGCCUAUUGUUCUGUUCAUGUGGUUAUCAGGAGUACAUUUGUCUAGUAAUGGGACAGUGUGUAGAUGCAUAGGUCCUUGUAAAACAGUCCAGAAUGAUGAACAACCCAAGAACAUCAUGCAAACAAUAUGGACUGUCGAUCUGGAUUUGGGCUGGAGCACCAGUUUCACCACAUACCAGCUCCACCACAUACCAGCUCCAUAAGCGCUGUAAGCUCCUUGACCUUUGUCAGCCUUAUGUUCUUGUGUGUGAAGUUGGGAAAAUACCGCUGACCUUUUAGAUUUGUCGAGAAGAUUACAUUAAGAACCAUACGGGAAGCAUGUGACACACUGUAAGGAAAUAAUACAUUUUAGUUCAAUUUCCCUUCAUGUUCUACAAGUGACAAAUGUCCUUAGUGAUUUUAAUGGUUUCAGAUUUAACAUCGAGACUCCACAGCAGCCAAUGUGAGAAAAGUGGAGGGAGGGAUGUUUGCUCUUCUCUACAUGAGCCCUUCCAUUGCUGAGCAAGGGUCAUCAUAUUCUAUUCUGAUGCAGCUGGACUGCAGGUAGUUUUUGUGUAUUGGUUAUUGAUUAGUCUCACAAAAACCUUAUUCAGGGGGAACUGUCACUGUAUCAUCUAUUUAUAGGUGACAAACUUAUGUAACCUUCCCAAGGUCAGGCAGCUUGGAAGAGUUCUGAGAAUCAAACCCUGUGCUCUUUUUCAGGAGUCCACAUUAUUACAACCGUGUUAGACGCAGGAAUGGAAAGAUUCAGCCACUUUCUUUCUGUAAUGACCAAGGACAUGUAUUUUCAGGUUGAGAGGCGAUUCUAAAUUUGUGAAGAUUCUGAAAUGAACUGACACAUACAGGUGUAGCUGCCUUAGCUCCACCUCAUUUUUUUUUUUUUUAAUUUGACAGUUGAGUCAUAGACAGUGAGAGAGAGAGAC